rnacentral:rRNA from 1 species
UACGUAGGUGGCAAGCGUUGUCCGGAUUUAUUGGGUUUAAAGGGUGCGUAGGCGGUCCUGUAAGUCAGUGGUGAAAUACUUCAGCUUAACUGGAGAGGUGCCAUUGAUACUGCUGGACUUGAGUACAGUCGAGGUAGGCGGAAUUGACGGUGUAGCGGUGAAAUGCUUAGAUAUCGUCAAGAACACCGAUAGCGAAGGCAGCUUACUAGGCUGUAACUGACGCUGAGGCACGAAGGUGCGGGGAUCAAACAGG